rnacentral:rRNA from 1 species
AGAUUGAACGCUGGCGGCAGGCCUAACACAUGCAAGUCGAGCGGCAGCACGGGUACUUGUACCUGGUGGCGAGCGGCGGACGGGUGAGUAAUGCCUAGGAAUCUGCCUGAUAGUGGGGGAUAACGUUCGGAAACGGACGCUAAUACCGCAUACGUCCUACGGGAGAAAGUGGGGGAUCUUCGGACCUCACGCUAUCAGAUGAGCCUAGGUCGGAUUAGCUAGUUGGUAGGGUAAAGGCCUACCAAGGCUACGAUCCGUAACUGGUCUGAGAGGAUGAUCAGUCACACUGGAACUGAGACACGGUCCAGACUCCUACGGGAGGCAGCGAGUGGGGAAUAUUGGACAAUGGGCGAAAGCCUGAUCCAGCAAUG